CAUGCAAGUCGAACGGCAGCACGGGAGCUUGCUCCUGGUGGCGAGUGGCGAACGGGUGAGUAAUACAUCGGAACGUACCCAGUAGUGGGGGAUAACGCACCGAAAGGUGCGCUAAUACCGCAUACGACCUACGGGUGAAAGCGGGGGACCGUAAGGCCUCGCGCUAUUGGAGCGGCCGAUGUCUGAUUAGCUAGUUGGUGAGGUAAAGGCUCACCAAGGCUUCGAUCAGUAGCUGGUCUGAGAGGACGAUCAGCCACACUGGGACUGAGACACGGCCCAGACUCCUACGGGAGGCAGCAGUGGGGAAUUUUGGACAAUGGGCGAAAGCCUGAUCCAGCAAUGCCGCGUGUGCGAAGAAGGCCUUCGGGUUGUAAAGCACUUUUGUCAGGGAAGAAAUCUUUUAGGCUAAUACCUUGGAAGGAUGACGGUACCUGAAGAAUAAGCACCGGCUAACUACGUGCCAGCAGCCGCGGCAAUACGUAGGGUGCGAGCGUUAUCCGGAAUCACUGGGUUUAAAAAGUACGUAGGCGGUUUUAUAAGUCAGGUGUGAAAUACCGCGGCCUAACUGCGGAACUGCACUUGAUACUGUAAAACUUGAGUAGGGUGGAGGUACACGGAAUGCAUCAUGUAGCGGUGAAAUGCUUAGAUAUGAUGUAGAACACCGAUAGCGAAGGCAGUGUGNCAUACCUUAACUGACGCUGAGGUACGAAAGCGUGGGGAGCAAACAGGAUUAGAUACNCCUGGUAGUCCAC
rnacentral:rRNA from 1 species